AGUUUCUUUUCCUCUGCUUAUUGAUAUGCUUAAACUCAGCGGGUGAUCCCGCCUGACCUGGGGUCGCGUUGAGGACUUUGGGUCAUCAAGAGGUUUUGUGGUGGAACGUCUGACUAUAUGACGAGAAUUGAAUUCAAUACCGCAUGUCAAGACGCUCAUGGCGUCCUUAGCUCGCAUUUUGGCCAACCACGUGCGGUAACACACGGGAGAUCAGCUUGCGUCCCAUAUCCUCGAGAGGAUGGGGGGAUGACGAUUUGUGACACCCAGGCAGACGUGCCCUCGGCCAGAAGGCUUGGGGCGCAACUUGCGUUCAAAGACUCGAUGGUUGACGGGAUUCUGCAAUUCACACCAAGUAUGGCAUUUUGCUACGUUCUUCAUCGAUUCAAGAGCCGAGAUAUCCAUUGCCGAGAGUCGUUUUAUACUUUACAUUGCAGCACUGCUUCCGAACAAACACCAUCUCCGGGUUGGCGAAAGCAGGCUGUUUAGUUGCAUUUUCCUUGACACUUUUCGUGCUGGGGUUUAGUGAUAUCCGGAAGCUUUGCGUACGAUCCAAAUACUUCAAGUUUGAAUCUAAUUUUUUGCAUGCUUCAGAAGAAUGGUUAAAGCUAUUUUCUGGUAAUUUUUCAUGAUUUUCUUUUUCUUCUAACCAUGUCUUUUGCAUGCUACAAAGUUCAGAGUUUCGUGGUCUAAACGGAUAUCUACAGCAACUUUUGAUCAACACUUGACAUCCUAAACUCAUUGUUGACAUAUUUUUGAUGUUUCCUUUCAGAAAACUUUCUUCAAAAAUAUUAAUUUUUGAAUUUUUGGCUUCUCGGGUGAUUUUUGUUGUCUGUGGGUGAUUUUGGCCCACGUGGCUGUCUGUGUGUGUCCGUCAGCACACACAUAACGUCUGUGGCUGUCCAUCAGUACACAUGUCAGCACGCUGGUCCUUGGACUCAGCACGCUGGCCCUUCCCAUGGACUGUUUGGGUGAUUUUGGCCCACGUGGGCUGUCGGUUCAGUACACACAGGACGUCUGUGGGUGUCCACCAGCACACACAGGACGUCCGUAGCUGUUUGUGGCUGUCCAUCAGCAUACACAGGACGUACGUGGCUGUCCGAGUGUGUCCGUGUGUGUCCGUCAGCACACACAAGACGUCCGUGGCUGUCCAUCAGUACACAUAUCAGCACGCUGGUCCUUGGACUCAGCACGCUGGCCCUUCCCGUGGACUGUUCGGGAGAUUUUGGCCCACGUGGGCUGUCUGUUCAUUUCACACAGGACGUCCGGGGGUGUCCAUCAGCACACCCAGGACGUCCUUGUGUGUUCGUCAGCACACACAGGACGUCUGUGGCGGUCCGUGUGUGUCUGUGUGUGUCCGUGUGUAUCCGUCAGCACACACAGGACGUCCGUGGCUGUCCAUCAGUACACAUAUCAGCCCGUUGGUCCUUCGACUCAGCACGCUGACCCUUCCCGUGGACUGUUCGGGUGAUUUUGGCCCAUGUGGGCUGUCUGUUCAGUACACACAGGACAUCCGUGGGUGUCCGCCAGCACACACAUGACGUCCGUGGCUGUCCGUGUGUGUCUGUCUGUGUCCGCCAGUACACACAGGACGUAUGUGGCCGUCCAUCAGUACACAUAUCAGCACGUUGGUCUUUGGACUCAGCACGCUGGCCCUUCCCGUGGACUGUUUGUGUGAUUUUGGCCCACGUGGGCUGCCUGUUCUGAACACACAGGACGCCUGUGGGUGCCCGCCAGCACACACAGGACGUCUGUGGCUGUCCGUCAGCACACACAGGACGUCUGUGGCUGUCUGUGUGUGUCCGCCAACACACACAGGACGUCUGUGGCUGUCCAUGGCUGUCCGUCAGCACACACAGGAUGUCGUGUGUGUUUGUGUGUGUCCGUCAGCGCACACAGGACGUUCGUGGCUGUUCAUCAGUACACAUAUCAGCACGCUGGUCCUUGGACUCAGCUCGCUGGCCCUUCCCGUGGACUGUUUGGGUGAUGUUGGCCCACGUGGGCUGUCUGUUCAAUACACACAGGACGUCCGUGGGUGUCCGCCAGCACACAUAGGACAUCUGUGUCUGUUUGUGGCUGUCCGUCAGAACACAGGACGUCCGUGGCUGUUCAUGUGUGUCCUUCUGUGUCCGUGUUUGUCCGUCAGCACACACAGGAAGUCCGUGGCUGUCCAUCAGUACACAUAUCAGCACGCUGGUCCUUGGACUCAGCACGCUGGCCCUUACCGUGGAAUGUUCGGGUGAUUUUGGCCCACGUGGGCUGUCUUUUCAUUACACACAGGACGUCCGGGGGUGUCCAUCAGCACACCCAGGACGUCCUUCUGUGUUCGUCAGCACACACAGGACAUCUGUUGCGGUCCAUGUGUUGUGUGUCCGUGUGUGUCCAUCAGCACACACAUGACGUCCAUGGCUGUCCAUCAGUACACAUAUCAGCACGAUGGUCCUUGGACUCAGCACGCUGACCCUUCCCGUGGAUUUUUCGGGUGAUUUCGGCCCACGUGGGAUGUUUGUUCAGUACACACAGGAUGUCCGUGGGUGUCCGCCAGAACAGACAGGACGUCAGUGGCUGUCCGUGUGUGUCCAUGUGUGUCCAUCUGUGUCCGUCAGCACACACAUGACGUCCGUGGCUGUCCAUCAGUACACAUAUCAGGACGUUGGUCGUUGGACUCAGCACGCUGGCCCUUCCCGUGGACUGUUCGUGUGAUUUUGGCCCACAUGGGCUGUUUGUUCAGUACACACAGGACGUCCGUGGCUGUCCGUGUGUGUCCGUGUGUGUCCGUGUGCAGACACAGGAUGUCCGUGGCUGUCCAUCAGUACACAUAUCAGCACGUUGGUCCUUGGACUCAGCACGCUGAUCCUUCCCAUGGCUGUCCGUGUGUUUCCGUGUUUGUCCGUCAGCACACACAGGACUUCCGUGGCCGUCCAUCAGUACACAAAUCAGCACGUUGGUCCUUCGACUCAGCACGCUGACCCUUCCCGUGGACUGUUUGGGUGAUUUUGGCCCAUGUGGGCUGCCUGUUCUGAACACACAGGACGUCUGUGGGUGUCCGCCAGCACACACAGGACGUUCGUGGCUGUCCGUCAGCACACACAGGACGUCCAUGGCUGUCUGUGUGUGUCCGUGGGUGUCCGCCAACACACACAGGACGUCUAUGGCUGUCCAUGGCUGUCCGUCAGCACACACCGGACGUCUGCGUGUGUCCGUCAGCACACACAGGACGUCCGUGUGUGUCUGUGUGUGUCCGUCAGAGCACACAGGACGUUCGUGGCUGUCCAUCAGUACACAUAUCAGCACGCUGGUCCUUGGACUCAGCACGCUGGUCCUUGGACUCAGCACGCUGGCCCUUCCCGUGGACUGUUUGGGUGAUUUUGGCCCACGUGGGCUGUCUGUUCAGUACACACAGGACGUCCGUGGGUGUCCGCCAGCACACACAGGACAUCUGUGGCUGUCUAUGGCUGUCCGUCAGCACACACAGGACGUCCGUGGCUGUUCGUGUGUGUCCUUGUGACAGCACACACAGGACGUCUGUGGCUGUCUAUGGCUGUCCGUCAGCACACACAGGACGUCCGUGGCUGUUCGUGUGUGUCCUUGUGUGUCCGUGUUUGUCCAUCAGCACACACAGGACGUAUGUGGCUGUCCAUUAGUACACAUAUCAGCACGCUGGUCCUUGGACUCAGCACGCUGGCCCUUACCGUGUAAUGUUCGGGUGAUUUUGGCCCAUGUGGGCUGUCUGUUCAGUACACACAUGACGUCCGGGGGUGUCCGUCAGCACACCCAUAACGUCCUUGUGUGUCCGUCAGCACACACAGGACGUCUGUGGCUGUCCGUGUAUGUCCGUGUGUGUCCGUCAGCACACACAGGACGUCUGUGGCUGUCCGUGUAUGUCCGUGUGUGUCCGUCAGCACACACAUGACGUCCGUGGCUGUCCAUCAGUACACAUAUCAGCACGAUGGUCCUUGGACUCAGCACGCUGACCCUUCCCGUGGACUUGUCGGGUGAUUUCGGCCCACGUGGGUUGUUUGUUCAGUACACACAGGAAUGGCCCACGUGGGCUGUCUGUUCAAUACACACAGGACGUCCGUGGGUGUCCGCCAGCACACAUAGGACAUCUGUGUCUGUUUGUGGCUGUCCGUCAGAACACAGGACGUCCGUGGCUGUUCAUGUGUGUCCUUCUGUGUCCGUGUUUGUCCGUCAGCACACACAGGAAGUCCGUGGCUGUCCAUCAGUACACAUAUCAGCACGCUGGUCCUUGGACUCAGCACGCUGGCCCUUCCCGUGGCCUGUUUGGGUGAUUUUGGCCCACGUGGGCUGUCUGUUCAGUACACACAGGACGUCCGUGGGUGUCCGCCAGCACACACAGGACGUCUGUGGCUGUCUAUGGCUGUCCGUCAGCACACACAGGACGUCCGUGGCUGUUCGUGUGUGUCCUUGUGUGUCCGUGUUUGUCCAUCAGCACACACAGGACGUCCGUUGCUGUCCAUCAGUACACAUAUCAGCACGCUGGUCCUUGGACUCAGCACGCUGGCUAUUACCGUGGAAUGUUCGGGUGAUUUUGGCCCAUGUGGGCUGUCUGUUCAGUACACACAUGACGUUCGGGGGUGUCCAUCAGCACACCCAUAACGUCCUUGUGUGUCCGUCAGCACACACAGGACGUCUGUGGCUGUCCGUGUAUGUCGUUUGUGUCCGUCAGCACACACAGGACGUCUGUGGCUGUCCGUGUAUGUCGUUUGUGUCCGUCAGCACACACAGGACGUCUGUGGCUGUCCGUGUAUGUCGUUUGUGUCCGUCAGCACACACAGGACGUCUGUGGCUGUCCGUGUAUUCCUUGUGUGUCCGUCAGCACACACAGGACGUCUGUGGCUGUCCGUGUAUGUCGUUUGUGUCCGUCAGCACACACAGGACGUCCGUGGCUGUCCAUCAGUACACAUAUCAGCACGAUGGUCCUUGGACUCAGCACGCUGACCCUUCCCGUGGACUUUUCGGGUGAUUUCGGCCCACGUGGG
rnacentral:lncRNA from 1 species